ACUCAUUUGGUGAAAUUGGUAUACACGUCAGACUUAAAAUCUGAUUCUAUUUUAAAAGAGUAUCGGUUCAAGUCCGAUAAUGAGUA
rnacentral:tRNA from 1 species